UACGGAAGGCAGCAGUGGGGAAUAUUGCACAAUGGGCGAAAGCCUGAUGCAGCUAUGCCGCGUGUAUGAAGAAGGCCUUAGGGUUGUAAAGUACUUUCAUCGGGGAGGAAAAAACAAAACUAAUAAUUUUAUUUCUUGACGUUACCCGAAAAAGAAGCACCGGCUAACUCCGUGCCAGCAGCCGCGGUAAUACGGAGGGUGCUAGCGUUAAUCAGAAUUACUGGGCGUAAAGAGCACGUAGGUGGUUUUUUUAAGUCAGAUGUGAAAUCCCUGGGCUUUAACCUAGGAACUGCAUUUUGAAACUGAAAUACUAGAGUAUCGUAGAGGGAGGUAGAAUUCUAGGUGUAGCGGUGAAAUGCGUAGAUAUCUGGAGGAAUACCUGUGGCGAAAGCGGCCUCCUAAACGAAUACUGACACUGAGGUGCGAAAGCGUGGGGAGCAAACAGGGAUUAGAUACC
rnacentral:rRNA from 1 species